rnacentral:rRNA from 1 species
AGUGAACGCUGGCGGUAGGCCUAACACAUGCAAGUCGAACGGCAGCACAGUAAGAGCUUGCUCUUACGGGUGGCGAGUGGCGGACGGGUGAGGAAUACAUCGGAAUCUACUUUUUCGUGGGGAUAACGUAGGGAAACUUACGCUAAUACCGCAUACUACCUACGGGUGAAAGCAGGGGAUCUUCGGACCUUGCGCGAUUGAAUGAGCCGAUGUCGGAUUAGCUAGUUGGCGGGGUAAAGGCCCACCAAGGCGACGAUCCGUAGCUGGUCUGAGAGGAUGAUCAGCCACACUGGAACUGAGACACGGUCCAGACUCCUACGGGAGGCAGCAGUGGGGAAUAUUGGACAAUGGGCGCAAGCCUGAUCCAGCCAUACCGCGUGGGUGAAGAAGGCCUUCGGGUUGUAAAGCCCUUUUGUUGGGAAAGAAAAGCAGCAGGUUAAUACCCCGCUGUUCUGACGGUACCCAAAGAAUAAGCACCGGCUAACUUCGUG